AGAGUUCGAUCCUGGCUCAGGAUGAACGCUGGCGGCGCGCCUAACACAUGCAAGUCGAACGGCACCCACCUUCGGGUGGAAGCGAGUGGCGAACGGCUGAGUAACACGUGGAGAACCUGCCCCCUCCCCCGGGAUAGCCGCCCGAAAGGACGGGUAAUACCGGAUACCCCGGGGUGCCGCAUGGCACCCCGGCUAAAGCCCCGACGGGAGGGGAUGGCUCCGCGGCCCAUCAGGUAGACGGCGGGGUGACGGCCCACCGUGCCGACAACGGGUAGCCGGGUUGAGAGACCGACCGGCCAGAUUGGGACUGAGACACGGCCCAGACUCCUACGGGAGGCAGCAGUGGGGAAUCUUGCGCAAUGGGGGGAACCCUGACGCAGCGACGCCGCGUGCGGGACGGAGGCCUUCGGGUCGUAAACCGCUUUCAGCAGGGAAGAGUCAAGACUGUACCUGCAGAAGAAGCCCCGGCUAACUACGUGCCAGCAGCCGCGGUAAUACGUAGGGGGCGAGCGUUAUCCGGAUUCAUUGGGCGUAAAGCGCGCGUAGGCGGCCCGGCAGGCCGGGGGUCGAAGCGGGGGGCUCAACCCCCCGAAGCCCCCGGAACCUCCGCGGCUUGGGUCCGGUAGGGGAGGGUGGAACACCCGGUGUAGCGGUGGAAUGCGCAGAUAUCGGGUGGAACACCGGUGGCGAAGGCGGCCCUCUGGGCCGAGACCGACGCUGAGGCGCGAAAGCUGGGGGAGCGAACAGGAUUAGAUACCCUGGUAGUCCCAGCCGUAAACGAUGGGCACUAGGUGUGGGGGAGCAUCUCCU
rnacentral:rRNA from 1 species